GCAGUGGUGGCUCAAAGGUUAAGGCUCCAGGUUACUGAUCAGAAGGUUUGGUUCAAGCCCUAGCACUGCC